CCACUAGAGGGAGCCUGAGAUCUUCCUCCUGAGGGCGUGAGCUGACUUCUGCACACCUGUUUUCCAUCUGCUCGUCUGGAGGCCUUCUUAAGGAGGAGGAGGCUGACACUUCCCUGCCAGAGUGUUUGCCAGUAAUGAACCUGACAUAUCCGGUAAUCUGUCAACUCCUGGAGAAAACCCUCGUUGCCUGGAACCUGCCUGUCUGCCCUCCGCCUCAGCCUCCGUCUCCCCCUCAGCCCUCUGCCUGCCGAUCAGCCUCUGGACCCUCAAGGUUCCCCCCCUGCCGGUCAGAAUACCCCCUGAACAGUUGCUUCCCUCCCGUGACCAGCCUGAUGAACCAAGACCCAGUUCACAUUUCUCUGAAAACAUUGUCAAUAAACCUUUUAA